GACUUUUCUGUACAGCAUCAAGGGUAAUGUAAUUUUUCACCAUGAAUUCCACUAUUAAACAUGAUUUUUUAAGACAUAAUUUGAAA